UACGUAGGCGGAAAAUUAAGUCAGUAGUGAAAUCCUGCAGCUUAACUGUAGAACUGUUAUUGAUACUGGUUUUCUUGAAUAUAGUUGAGGUAGGCGGAAUGUGUAAUGUAGCGGUGAAAUGCUUAGAUAUUACACAGAACACCGAUUGCGAAGGCAGCUUACUAAACUAUGAUUGACGCUGAUGCACGAAAGCGUGGGGAGCGAACAGGAUUAGAUACCCUGGUAGUCC
rnacentral:rRNA from 1 species